rfam:Oreochromis niloticus linkage group LG19, whole genome shotgun sequence.
GUAAAGGCUCUUUUAAGAGCUACUUUGGGUUUUACCCAAAAUUUAU